rnacentral:tRNA from 1 species
GGCGGUAAAGUGGCCUAGGACACCGCCCUUUCACGGCGGUAACAGGGGUUCGAGUCCCCUAGGGGACGCCACGA